UGGCUGAGUUGUAAAGCGCUUGGCUUCCAAACAUGGGGUCCUAGGUUCAAAUCUUAG
rnacentral:tRNA from 1 species